rnacentral:lncRNA from 1 species
AGUUGGCCUUUUCAUUUUAAUCAACCAGGGGAGGCAGCAGUGAGCCAUACUUUGCCUGCCGGAGGAUGAGAAAGGUGACUGGGAAAUGGUUAAUAUUUACGUAUAAAUACAUAGGUCAUUUGUGUUGUGUAAGUUUAAAAGUAGAGUCUGGAGUAUUGCUUGUUACAGUUUGUAAACAAAACAUUGAAACUGGGCCCCUCCUCUCGGGCUCAACUGUGUAACGUUAGCCUCCUGCCCCUGACAGCAGCAGUUACCAGGACCACAAAGGUGUAUUGUUGAUACAGGGAUAAACCAGGGUUUGACAAGAGUUGCCAGUGUCUGAUUCUACACCCGAACACAGCAGAGUGGGCGGGGCCUGCAGACCGACCCAGUUACACCUGCAGUGAGCAGACAGAGGAAGAGGAGUGUGAGAUCCACGGGGAAAGGAGCAGGAGAAAGAGAACGACAGCUGUCGCCAGCAGACGGGCAUUGACUGUCGGACUAAUUGAAAUCUCCCGAGUCUGCGCCCGGCAGAGGACAGUGUGCAAGUGGAAGACCAGCGGUGGUCGUGGAGAAUUGGUGUUACCAAGUCACCACAAUAAUGGACCCCUUCCUCCCAGACCCCAUUCUAUAAUUUUUGUCAAUCAUAUUUUCUUUUCCUUUUCUGUAAUUUAUAUUAAAAAUAUUCUCAAUUAAAAUACAGACACUUUUAGAAAAAUGGUUAGAAGUCUGUAAUGUUUGCAUUUUGUUAUUUACAUCACAGAUUGAUAACUUAAUUGUGAUAAUGUUCAAAGUUAUUAUAAUUAUUAUUAUUAUUAUUAUUUCACAUAAACACACACAGUAAGUAUAACGGUACUGUGCUAGGUAUUCUUUUC